GCUGAAUUAACGCGCUGCUAUUUUUAGAAGUGCCCGCGUUUCCAGGGGAAACCUAAUGACGCAAUGACGUCAAUGCGGGUCAACAGCUGACUGGAGGAAUGGAGCGCUCCCUGUUACAUUAUUAUUUUUUGUCCCCCCUUUUCAGUAUUUUCAUAAAACAAAGACAAGGCGACUAAAUGGAAGCAGGCGCGGAAAGAGAUCUUAGAAAACGCGAAUGCAAGCGCGAGGAUGUUGUUUGAAGCCGCGCGCCGUCACGGCGACGCCCCGCCAUCAGAGCCGCGUCAGUAAGGGCUGUAGUAGCUGAAGCACGUCCAGGAGGGAAUGUGCUUUCCUUUUUCUCUCGGAAAGCUGCGUGCACCACACCAACAGGGAGUAAUGGGGUGUGAACGCGAGCUUUCUCUCUCUGUCUCUCUCUCUGUGUCUGUCUCUCUUUCUCUCCCUCUCUCUUCUUUUUGCCCCGCUUUCGACCUGUUCAUUUACGUGACGCCCGGUGAUGAGCUCUGAUGAUAUGCGGAGAUGCGGCUCUUGCCAUCGAGAUUUAUUCACGUUUGAACGGCUCGUGCUUUUCUACCGAGAAACACUCAGGCAACCGUCUUCACAAUGUCAAAGAUCCGAUGUGGACUUGUGAAAGAUCUGUGCAUAUCCUCACAUCUCUCCUCUGCUUAUGCCCUUCACAUAUCUUUUUGCGGUCUGGGCUUGCUGUUCUGUAACUGAGUAGCCAGGAAGCCCUUACCCCAAAAAGUAUGUGUGGGGGGUCCAAACAACACACACUCCUCAUCUCUCAGACUCAGGAUAAUAGGACAGCAAAAUCCUUGUCCAUUGUCGCACUGUUUUUAGUUAAAUACAUAUUUUCUCUAUUUUGAACUAUACUUUUGAAGCCAAUAACGGCAUCUCCAAUUGUGUUUUCAUGACAAAAGAUAAUCUCUGCUUCACCAUUUAUGUAAAAUAUUUUAUUCCAGAAUUUUAAAGAUGAAAUGUGUGUGUAUCCUGUAAUCGAAAACAUCAUACAAAAUUUGACCAUUUAUGUUACUUGUGAGAAAUAAAGGAACAUCUGUGAAAUCUAUAAAUCACAUUUAUAAAGAUUCUGAACAUUUAAAUCUUAAUGUAUAAUAGAGGAAACCAUAAACACUCAUACUGAAAUGGAGAGGGUUUCCUAAUCCCAAAUUGAACCUCAGCAUAUUUUCUUUAUUCCUCUUGCAAUUGAACGCCUAAAUGAAUUAAAUACAGAAUAAUAGAGUAUAACAUACUACAGAGCAUACUGUAAUAGGAAAAUAAUUAAUGGUGGGGUGGUGUGAUGUGGCCCGACACAAAGCAUGAGAGAUACUCUUACUACCUUGAUGUUGAUUAUUUUCCAGUAACAUGAUGUCCCAGACGUGUCUUUUUCCUUGUGUACCACAGCAAUUAGGCAAUGAUUGCAAUUUGUAUUUAUUAAUAAACAACAUGUCAUGCUCUUUAACAGUUUAUAGUAGUACAUGUAAUGUUGUGGAAUGUAUAUGAGACAAAUUAGUUCCUAUUAUCACCAGGCUUGUGUAGAAACGGAAUACAUGUAAUGGCGUUACGUAAUCAGGAUACAAAAAAAUGGUAACUGUAAUCUGUUAAAAUUAUGUCAAAAAACAAAGGAAUCAGAUUGCAGGUACAUUUUGUGAAAAAAAAAAAAUAAAUAAAAAAAAAAUGGUAAGACUAUCAGGAUUACAAUUUUUUUUUUCAUUUAAAACCAAAGAAAUGAAACUUUUGACAGAACACAGUAUAGACAGCUGCUUGAUUAUAGUUCUGGUUCUCUCUCGCCAGUCGUGACUCACAUGAGCAACCUCCUGGUGCUUGCGCAAAUUAAUUUUGUGCAAAGUUAAUUUGGUAGAAAUUAACAUAAAUUGUUCUCUGAAAUGCUUUUGUUACAUUACAUUUACAUUUACAUUUAUUCACUUAGCAGACGCUUUUAUCCAAGCGACUUACAAAUGAGAAAGAGAAAGAGAAAAUUGUUAGGGUGACCAUACGUCCUCUUUUUCCCGGACCUUAAAAAAAGUGUCUAAAUUUGAGAAAUUGUACUCGAUUCUGUUUUAGUUUCAUUAUGAUGUACUUAUGGUCUAAUACUGCAUCAUGUGUACGCAUAUUUGCAUUGCUUCAACCUCUCUCUGUAUUUCCCACCUUCCAACACACCAACUGGUUGAUUAUAAAAGGCUUGCAGCAACUAUUGGCCAAAUUCCUGCCUCUCAACCAUUAGCUUAUUCUCAGCAAACAUGCAAAGGUGAAGCAUUGUUGUGUACAGCGUCCACAUAGCAGCAAAUAACAGCUGUCCUGAGUCGAAACAAAGGCCAUGGCCAUAUAUGGAUAUUUUUAAUUUUAUAUCAUCACAUUGCUUCACAUGGGGCGCACGGUGGCUGAGGGGUUAGCAUGUUCGCCUCACACCUCCAGGGUCAGGGGUUCAAUUCCCACUGUGGCCCUGUGUGUGCAGAGUUUGCAUGUUCUCAUGCUGCGGUACUCCAGUUUCCUCCCCCAGUCCCAAGACAUGCAUGGUAGGUUGAUUGGCAUGUCCAAAGUGUCCGUAGUGUAUGAAUGGGUGUGUGAAUGUGUAUGUGAUUGUGCCCUGCGAUGGAUUGGCACCCUGUCCAGGGUGUAUCCUGCCUUGUGCCCGAUGCUCCCUGGGAUAGGCUCCAGGUUCCCCGUGACCCUGAAAAGGAUAACGCUGGAGGAUGUACAUUGUUUCAUAUUACAUAGCCAUUGAAAUGUGUAAAUGAAGGCAGAAGGUACACUUGUGGCAUCUAAUAUUUUAUUUUAUUCCAUGGACAUUCAAAAGGAAUAAUGUAGGAAAAAUGUAAAAUGUAAAAUGUAAAAAGUUUAUUUAUAUAUGUGAUGCUAAUUGUGCCUUUUCAGUGUAUUAAAGUCUGCAUUCAUUGUAACACUGUUUUGAAUCCUAUUAAGAUGCUAUUUGGAAUACAUACAAACUGUUCCAAAAAGUUGGGACAGAGGUAAUUUAGGACUAAUCGCGAUGGGACAAGUUGAAAUAAGAAUGUGAUGUGAAACAGGUGAGGCAAUCGUCUAAUCAUAGUACAUAAGGAACCUCCAAAAAAUGGCCUACUCCUUCAAGAGCAAGGAUGGGUCGAGGAUCGCCGAUCUGCCAACAGAUGCAUCAACGAAUAAUCCAACACUUUGAGAAAAAAUUCCCCAAUGACAACUUGGUAGGAUUUUGGCCAUUUCACCUUCUACGGUGCACAACAUAAUUAAAAGAUUCAAGGAAUCCGGUCAAAUCUCGGUGCGUAAAG
ensembl:lncRNA